GUGCGCCGCGGUAGUACAGAGGUCUCAAGCGUUGUUCGGAAUUACUGGGCGUAAAGGGUGCGCAGGCCGCGCGGGCAGUCAAAUGUGUAAUUCAGGGGCUCAACCCCUGCACUGCGCUUGAUACUUCCGCGCUCGAGCUUUGGAGAGGAGUCUGGAAUUCUCGGUGUAGCAGUGAAAUGCGUGGAUAUCGAGAAGAACACUUAGGGCGUAGGCAAGACUCUGGACAAAUGCUGACGCUCAUGCACGAAGGCUAGGGUAGCGAACGGG
rnacentral:rRNA from 1 species